AGUACAGGAUGGACCCGCGUCUGAUUAGCUAGUUGGUAAGGUAACGGCUUACCAAGGCGACGAUCAGUAGCCGACCUGAGAGGGUGAUCGGCCACAUUGGAACUGAGACACGGUCCAAACUCCUACGGGAGGCAGCAGUGGGGAAUAUUGCACAAUGGGCGAAAGCCUGAUGCAGCAACGCCGCGUGAGUGAUGAAGGCCUUCGGGUCGUAAAACUCUGUCCUCAAGGAAGAUAAUGACGGUACUUGAGAAGGAAGCCCCGGCUAACUACGUGCCAGCAGCCGCGGUAAUACGUAGGGGGCUAGCGUUAUCCGGAUUUACUGGGCGUAAAGGGUGCGUAGGCGGUCUUUCAAGUCAGGAGUGAAAGGCUACGGCUCAACCGUAGUAAGCUCUUGAAACUGGGAGACUUGAGUGCAGGAGAGGAGAGUGGAAUUCCUAGUGUAGCGGUGAAAUGCGUAGAUAUUAGGAGGAACACCAGUUGCGAAGGCGGCUCUCUGGACUGUAACUGACGCUGAGGCACGAAAGCGUGGGGAGCAAACAGGAUUAGAUACCCUGGUAGUCCACGCUGUAAACG
rnacentral:rRNA from 1 species